AUUGAACGCUGGCGGCAGGCUUAACACAUGCAAGUCGAGCGGAGAGAGGUAGCUUGCUACUGAUCUUAGCGGCGGACGGGUGAGUAAUGCUUAGGAAUCUGCCUAUUAGUGGGGGACAACAUUUCGAAAGGAAUGCUAAUACCGCAUACGUCCUACGGGAGAAAGCAGGGGAUCUUCGGACCUUGCGCUAAUAGAUGAGCCCAAGUCGGAUUAGCUAGUUGGUGGGGUAAAGGCCUACCAAGGCGACGAUCUGUAGCGGGUCUGAGAGGAUGAUCCGCCCCACUGGGACUGAGACACGGCCCAGACUCCUACGGGAGGCAGCAGUGGGGAAUAUUGGACAAUGGGCGCAAGCCUGAUCCAGCAAUGCCGCGUGUGUGAAGAAGGCCUUAUGGUUGUAAAGCACUUUAAGCGAGGAGGAGGCUACUUUAGAUAAUACCUAGAGAUAGUGGGCGUUACUCGCAGAAUAAGCACCGGCUAACUCUGUGCCAGCCGCCGCAGUAAAAC
rnacentral:rRNA from 1 species